rnacentral:rRNA from 1 species
UACGAAGGGGGCUAGCGUUGCUCGGAAUCACUGGGCGUAAAGGGCGCGUAGGCGGACUUUUAAAUCAGGGGUGAAAUCCUGAGGCUCAACCUCAGAACUGCCUUUGAUACUGAGGGUCUCGAGACCGGUAGAGGUAAGUGGAACUGCGAGUGUAGAGGUGAAAUUCGUAGAUAUUCGCAAGAGCACCAGUGGCGAAGGCGGCUUACUGGACCGGUUCUGACGCUGAGGCGCGAAAGCGUGGGGAGCAAACAGG